CUUCGGUUGGUCGUUGGUCUUUGAGGUCUCCCGAUCGGGUGGCAGACGAUUCUAUCAGUCUCGCCCUCAUCUUCUCCAUCUCCUCUCUUCCUCAUCUAGAUGGGACGUCAUGCCAUUGAGAAAAUUGUGAUACUUAAGUGGCUCCAAAUUGAGAGUUGAUUUUGUUGUGAAUCUCCUGACUAAAUGCAAAUGGUUGAUAUCUGCAAUAUUUGAUUUUGGGAUUUCGCGUACAGAGGGUGGAUGAUUGUUGCUAUCAUAUGAUACUCUGAUGUUUAGGUUUUGAGAAUCCUAUGAUGUUUGUUAUGUCAAGAAAGCUUACUAGAAUUCAAUAAUAAUCUUGCUAGACUUGUAUUUGUGAUAAAAGUUACAUUGGUUUGGCUUUUGUCGUUCUCAA